rnacentral:lncRNA from 1 species
GCAUUUUUAAAGGAAAAAAUGGUGGGUUGAACCUGGUUUUGUGGCAUGCCAAACCUCGCACUUUUAUGGCCAUGUGAAAUAUAACAUCAAAAUGACAACACAGGACUACAAUAUAAAUAAAUUGGAGAACACAAUUGACAAAGAAUCACACGAACAACAGUCAACAAAAGGCAACAAGUUCAAAAUUUUAAUACGCCAGAAG